rnacentral:rRNA from 1 species
UGCAAGUCGAGGGGUAGAAGCAGCUUGCUGCUUUGAGACCGGCGCACGGGUGCGUAACGCGUAUACAAUCUACCUUUUACAGAGGGAUAGCCCAGAGAAAUUUGGAUUAAUACCUCAUAGUAUCUUCGAAUCGCAUGAUUUGAUUAUUAAAGUUCCAACGGUAAAAGAUGAGUAUGCGUCCCAUUAGCUAGACGGUAAGGUAACGGCUUACCAUGGCAACGAUGGGUAGGGGUCCUGAGAGGGAGAUCCCCCACACUGGUACUGAGACACGGACCAGACUCCUACGGGAGGCAGCAGUGAGGAAUAUUGGACAAUGGGCGCAAGCCUGAUCCAGCCAUGCCGCGUGCAGGAAGUCGGUCCUAUGGAUUGUAAACUGCUUUUAUACAGGAAGAAACACCUCUACGUGUAGAGACUUGACGGUACUGUAUGAAUAAGCAUCGGCUAACUCCGUGCCAGCAGCCGCGGUAAUACGGAGGAUGCAAGCGUUAUCCGGAAUCAUUGGGUUUAAAGGGUCCGUAGGCGGCCAAAUAAGUCAGUGGUGAAAGCCCAUCGCUCAACGAUGGAACGGCCAUUGAUACUGUUUGGCUUGAAUUAUUAGGAAGUAACUAGAAUAUGUAGUGUAGCGGUGAAAUGCUUAGAGAUUACAUGGAAUACCAAUUGCGAAGGCAGGUUACUACUAAUAUAUUGACGCUGAUGGACGAAAGCGUGGGGAGCGAAC